rnacentral:lncRNA from 1 species
AGUUCUGCCUCGGACCCCGGCCAAUCCCCCAGAUCUCCCCCGGGACCCCCCACCCCGCAGCCCACCCACCCGAGCGCACAGCUCCUCACCUGAGGGGCCCAGUCGCGUCGGGCCUCCCGAGGGGGCUGCGAGUGUCAGUCGGCUCUCCGCACGUGUCCGCGGCCUCGCGGAGCAGUCCACCCCUGGCUGGUUUCUGCUUCCACCUGCUGAUCUCACAGAGGUGAGGUGAUAACAGUGAUGAAACAAAAUCUUCAAACCACAGCACAGUAAGAAGAUGCCGAGUUUAUAUGUGGACACUGCUUUUGUGACUAUGACUAUUGUUGUGGGUUUCCUUGCUUUCCAUCUCGCCAGUUCCCUUCUUGACAUUGUACAGCUAUUUCCUUUGUAAUACAGAAACUCUCUUACAGAAUAUUUCCACAGCUGGCUUUCAUCACUUCUUGAUAGCACUGCAAGCUAUUUGGCAUAUGAAGGUCUUGACCUGAGAAAACCAUCUUGGAUAACUGCAGCAAGGAAAAGGAAAAAUGCAACACCUAGGAGAUUUCAGUAAACAGUAGAAUCAUGCCAACCUAAUCUGUGUUAAAAUGCUUGGAAUGUGGGAGCCGCUGAUGAUGCCUCUUGUCUGUGUGUCUGACUGAAUCCUUUCUUUUCUCAGAGCAGCAAAGCAAAGCCUGGGAACCAGGCCAAAUGCCUGCCACUUACCUUAAAUUGAUCAGCCACUUUGAGAUUAAAACCCCUGAAAGCUGCCACACCGUGAAAACAAGGCCUCCUUCACAUUAAAGGCAAAUUGCGACUUUG